rnacentral:lncRNA from 1 species
UGGAGAGUUGGAGGAGGAGGGCAGUUAAUUCAUUCCUGCCGGGGAAGCUUUGCUUGUGUAGGUCUUAGGUCUUGCUCCUCGACUCUUCGUGGAGUUUUCUGGGUUUGCAGAGGAGAGGAGCCUGUGGUCCAGGCCUCCCUCGGAACGGGCGAGGCGGGAUGAGGGAAGCCAGAGCGGCGGGUCGGCUUCGAGCCGGUUCCGAGUCUACGCUCUCCGCCACCUCCGGACAACGCGCGCCUCUGGAUGCUCGCAGGCUGGGGGCCCGGGACAGAUGGUUGCUGGGGAAGAGGGGGCAGAGCGGACCGCGCAAGCAUCCCGAGGUGACAAAUGCAGUUAGUUCUUCAUUGUUUGGGCAUUUUCCCCUCCUAGCGAAUAAAUCUUCUGUUGAGCCACAGACCUAAAAAGUCAACAAAGGAGGCCGGGCGCCGGGUCUCCGGCCCACCCCGCGGCCUGCCCGGCCGAGUCGCUCCCGCUGCGUAAUCCCUUCCUCGGAAACCCCGACACACAAACGCCGGCUCGCCGGACCAGGGCGCCGCGCCGGGGCCAGGAAGAAAACAUCUGUGCUUCCAGCGGCGCACAGGGACCCUCCCGAGAGCGCCGCCUGCGACGACCCCGACAUCCUCCGCCCCCACCCCGUUUUAGACCCCGGGCCCCUGAUUUCUUCUCCCGUGCUUCAUCCUCCAGAAAGUGGACGUACA